rnacentral:pre_miRNA from 1 species
AUACAUGGCCUGAUCCAAAGCCUAUUGAAGUCCAUGGGAAUUGUUCCAUUGACUUCAGUAGACUUUGGAUCAGGUCCAUACUAU